GAGUUUGAUCCUGGCUCAGGACGAACGCUGGCGGCGUGCCUAAUACAUGCAAGUAGAACGCUGAAGGAGGAGCUUGCUUCUCUGGAUGAGUUGCGAACGGGUGAGUAACGCGUAGGUAACCUGCCUGGUAGCGGGGGAUAACUAUUGGAAACGAUAGCUAAUACCGCAUAAGAGUGGAUGUUGCAUGACAUUUGCUUAAAAGGUGCACUUGCAUCACUACCAGAUGGACCUGCGUUGUAUUAGCUAGUUGGUGGGGUAAGGGCUCACCAAGGCGACGAUACAUAGCCGACCUGAGAGGGUGAUCGGCCACACUGGGACUGAGACACGGCCCAGACUCCUACGGGAGGCAGCAGUAGGGAAUCUUCGGCAAUGGACGGAAGUCUGACCGAGCAACGCCGCGUGAGUGAAGAAGGUUUUCGGAUCGUAAAGCUCUGUUGUAAGAGAAGAACGAGUGUGAGAGUGGAAAGUUCACACUGUGACGGUAUCUUACCAGAAAGGGACGGCUAACUACGUGCCAGCAGCCGCGGUAAUACGUAGGUCCCGAGCGUUGUCCGGAUUUAUUGGGCGUAAAGCGAGCGCAGGCGGUUAGAUAAGUCUGAAGUUAAAGGCUGUGGCUUAACCAUAGUAGGCUUUGGAAACUGUUUAACUUGAGUGCAAGAGGGGAGAGUGGAAUUCCAUGUGUAGCGGUGAAAUGCGUAGAUAUAUGGAGGAACACCGGUGGCGAAAGCGGCUCUCUGGCUUGUAACUGACGCUGAGGCUCGAAAGCGUGGGGAGCAAACAGGAUUAGAUACCCUGGUAGUCCACGCUGUAAACGAUGAGUGCUAGGUGUUAGACCCUUUCCGGGGUUUAGUGCCGUAGCUAACGCAUUAAGCACUCCGCCUGGGGAGUACGACCGCAAGGUUGAAACUCAAAGGAAUUGACGGGGGCCCGCACAAGCGGUGGAGCAUGUGGUUUAAUCGAAGCAACGCGAAGAACCUUACCAGGUCUUGACAUCCCUCUGACCGCUCUAGAGAUAGAGUUUUCCUUCGGGGACAGAGGUGACAGGUGGUGCAUGGUUGUCGUCAGCUCGUGUCGUGAGAUGUUGGGUUAAGUCCCGCAACGAGCGCAACCCCUAUUGUUAGUUGCCAUCAUUUAGUUGGGCACUCUAGCGAGACUGCCGGUAAUAAACCGGAGGAAGGUGGGGAUGACGUCAAAUCAUCAUGCCCCUUAUGACCUGGGCUACACACGUGCUACAAUGGCUGGUACAACGAGUCGCAAGCCGGUGACGGCAAGCUAAUCUCUUAAAGCCAGUCUCAGUUCGGAUUGUAGGCUGCAACUCGCCUACAUGAAGUCGGAAUCGCUAGUAAUCGCGGAUCAGCACGCCGCGGUGAAUACGUUCCCGGGCCUUGUACACACCGCCCGUCACACCACGAGAGUUUGUAACACCCGAAGUCGGUGAGGUAACCGUAAGGAGCCAGCCGCCUAAGGUGGGAUAGAUGAUUGGGGUGAAGUCGUAACAAGGUAGCCGUAUCGGAAGGUGCGGCUGGAUCACC
rnacentral:rRNA from 1 species